rnacentral:rRNA from 1 species
CCUACGGGUGGCUGCAGUGGGGGAUAUUGCACAAUGGGGGGAACCCUGAUGCAGCGACGCCGCGUGGGUGAAGGAGUGCUUCGGCAUGUAAAGCCCUAUCGGCAGGGAAGAAGCAAGACGGUACCUGACUAAGAAGCCCCGGCUAACUACGUGCCAGCAGCCGCGGUAAUACGUAGGGGGCGAGCGUUAUCCGGAUUCAUUGGGUUUAAAGGGUGCGUAGGCGGAGCGUUAAGUCAGUGGUCAAAUUGAGGGGCUCAACCCCUUCCCGCCAUUGAAACUGGCGCUCUUGAGUGGAAGAGAAGUAUGCGGGAUGCGUGGUGUAGCGGUGAAAUGCAUAGAUAUCACGCAGAACCCCGAUUGCGAAGGCAGCAUGCCGGCUUCCGACUGACGCUGAAGCACGAAAGCGUGGGGAUCGAACAGGAUUAGAUACCCCUGUAGUC